CCGAACUGAACCAAACUGGUUCGGUUCGGUAAGCGUUUUUGAAUUUUGAUGUACCAAACGGUUCAGUGCUUCUAGCCUUUCGCCGUCCGCCCCUCCGCCACUCCACCAUCUGAGAACCUAAGAAUCGAAAACUUCAAGGAGACGAAGACGAAGGCUCCGCCAUCCGAGCCUGCUGUCCUGCUCCACCGUCCGCCAUUGCCUGCUGCCCUGCUUCCCUGCUCCGCCUUUGCCUGAUUUUGAGUUGAAUUCGCAAUAAGUUCCAAGUGUGUUGUGUGUGUGAAUAUAGCAGUAAUUGUGACUGUAAUUCUGAUCUUGCAGGGAAGAGAAUAUGAAAGUCAAGAUUAUACGUGGCAUGCUGUUGCUUCAUGGACAUGGGAUGCACAGGAUGAGACUUGUGGAAUUUGUAGGAUGGCCUUUGAUGGUUGUUGUCCUGAUUGUAAACUCCCUGGGGAUGAUUGCCCUUUAAUUUGGGGUGCUUGCAAUCAUGCAUUUCAUCUCCAUUGUAUCUUGAAGUGGGUGAAUUCACAGACUUCUCAGGCACACUGUCCCAUGUGCCGCAGGGAAUGGCAAUUCAAAGGAUGAAAAACUGCAUGUGUUCUUAAUUUCU